UACGUAGGGGGCAAGCGUUGUCCGGAUUUAUUGGGCGUAAAGAGCGUGUAGGCGGCUAUACAGGUCCGCUGUGAAAACUCGAGGCUCAACCUCGAGACGUCGGUGGAAACCGUAUGGCUAGAGUCCGGAAGAGGAGAGUGGAAUUCCUGGUGUAGCGGUGAAAUGCGCAGAUAUCGGGAAGAACACCCGUGGCGAAGGCGGUUCUCUGGGACGGUACUGACGCUGAGACGCGAAAGCGUGGGGAGCGAGCAGG
rnacentral:rRNA from 1 species